rnacentral:rRNA from 1 species
CCUACGGGUGGCAGCAGUGAGGAAUAUUGGUCAAUGGACGAGAGUCUGAACCAGCCAAGUAGCGUGAAGGAUGACUGCCCUAUGGGUUGUAAACUUCUUUUAUAUGGGAAUAAAAUGUUCCACGUGUGGGAUUUUGUAUGUACCUUAUGAAUAAGGAUCGGCUAACUCCGUGCCAGCAGCCGCGGUAAUACGGAGGAUCCGAGCGUUAUCCGGAUUUAUUGGGUUUAAAGGGAGCGUAGAUGGAUUGUUAAGUCAGUUGUGAAAGUUUGCGGCUCAACCGUAAAAUUGCAGUUGAUACUGGCAGUCUUGAGUACAGUAGAGGUAGGCGGAAUUCGUGGUGUAGCGGUGAAAUGCUUAGAUAUCACGAAGAACUCCGAUUGCGAAGGCAGUUCACUAGACUGCAACUGACACUGAGGCUCGAAAGUGUGGGUAUCAAACAGGAUUAGAUACCCGAGUAGUC